rnacentral:rRNA from 1 species
UACGGAGGGGGCUAGCGUUGUUCGGAAUUACUGGGCGUAAAGCGCGCGUAGGCGGAUCUGCAAGUCGGGGGUGAAAUCCCGAGGCUCAACCUCGGAACUGCCUUCGAUACUGCGGGUCUCGAGUCCGGGAGAGGUGAGUGGAAUUCCUAGUGUAGAGGUGAAAUUCGUAGAGAUCAGGAGGAACACCGGUGGCGAAGGCGGCCUACUGGGCCAGCACUGACGCUGAGGCGCGAAAGCUCGGGGAGCGAACGGG